ensembl:lncRNA
CCUUCACCUCAUUAAAGUACAGUAGACUGUAAAUCUCUGAAGCUCGAGAGAAAUAAUGAGAAAUGCUUAAGUAGAGAUACUGAAAUGGAGACACUCACUCCCAAUAUUUGGAAUCAAAACUUGCAUAUUUCAAAAUGAACUCAGACAUUUCUCAUCAAGUUCUUCCAAAACCAAAAUGAUGUGAGCAAUGCAAUGCACACAAAUUGAAAAGUCAUAUAUGCUCUGAACUUAUUACGGUACAUCAGCAAUUCUCCCAUUUGGGUGUUUAUUACUCAUUUAUUACUCAUUUUUACCUAAACCACAAUUAGUUAUGAUGUAGCCUACCAUCUGCAUUCAUGUGUGUAAGUGCUAUAAUGUUCCAGGAUCUCCUCUGCGGUCCUCUGGAGAUCCUGUCCAAAGCUUAAUGUGAGAGUGACGACCCCUUUCUCAGUAAACACACUGUGCUUUUACUAGUUAACUCACCCUUUCCCCCCUGGCCACAGAAGAUGCCGUCAAAUCCCGUGGAGAGAUGUGAGUCAGCCUCGCCUCCAUCCUUUAAAGCUCAUUACAACUUGUGUUUAAUGCAACGCUACUCUCAGAACCGUUUGUCUAAUUGUGCGCCAUUGUGUUUAACCCAUCUGAGCCUCUGACAGCACUCAACAAUUGGAAAUGCAGUCGCAGGGUAGCAGUUGUCAGUGCGAGCAUGCUAAUUUGAAUAUGCAGCGAACGGGAGGCUUUCAGAGCGAGACAGAGAGGGAGGCCAUAUUGAGAGCCACCAUCUGUGUCCGUGUCGCUCAGUGCGGCCAAAGCAGGGAGAUCCCAUAUGUCACAUGAAGCCCCGUUGGGUAUAGCACUCUUGUUGCUGUUUGUUGUUUUUAUUUAUUUAUGAAAGGCCCUAGGAAUGAGAAAAUCAAGCCGGGUUUGCAGUGCCAGGGCCGAAGGGGCUAAAAUCUGGCAUCGUUAGGACCAUCUAACGAGCAGACUUCAUGUCAAUUGGCCUGCGUGUGUGUGUUUACCAUCUGCAAGACGGUAUGUGCACAUCUGCUGAAUCACUGUGGUCCAUUGGGCGUUGGACCAUCAUGGGACCAUGUGGUGCGGUGGCAGAGACGGUCCCCAGAGCUUUCAUUGACAGAUGGCUUCGGUGCCUGCCAGCACAGUGCUGAGACGUUGCCGUGCACCGUGCAAGAACUGCCACCGGGGCCACGGGACACUCCCCACCCACAGCUGCCCACUGAUGUCAUCUCUAAAGCAGUAAUAGUGACCCACUUCCAAUUCCAGCAGAAUUCCGGAUGCGCCCCAUUUCAAGCGUCCUCAGGUGCAUGGUGUUGCGCUCUUGAAUCGGGCUCUUUCAGCGAUUUGUCACGGUUCUGUUGGGCCCUGCUGCGACGGCACGUGCCAGAUCACCGCGGCGGCUCUGCUCCCCGUGUGCCAGACGGCCUCUCGUCGUCCUGACAGCCCACCACUGCUGUCACCCGCCCUGCGCCCGGACACCGGCUCCCGGCCCUGGCAACACGAGCGUAACCACAACCCCUACCCAGAAUAGAUGCAGACACAGGGGCCAGACAGAAACCCCCAGAGGACACACACACGCUGUACCCUGCAGCUCCACAGACUGUUCAUUUGCCCGAGUCGGGAUGAGACAAGGUCAGAUUCAGAUUGACUUUAUGAUUUCACUUUAUCAAAACAUUUAAAAUCAGUGUUCCCUUAUUAAAUGUGAUCAUUCUGAUUUGAUGAGACACUCAUAAAGCCAUUGUAAAUACCAAUAUAUCAGUUGAAUUCUGUUGGCCUAUUAAUUAACCAAGCUGCUUGAUAAUUUUACAUACACUUAUUGUCAGAACAGUAUAAAUAGUAAAUAUGACUUUAUUUAUAUAUUGUUUA